rnacentral:ncRNA from 3 species
GUCGGGAUAGCUCAGCUGUAGAGCAGA